rnacentral:lncRNA from 1 species
AUGAUCUCGAACCUCCCCUCGAUUCCUUCAUGCUCUCCUCCAAUCCUUGUGCAUCCGAUCUUGCUCCAUUUCUCCAUAAUCAUAGCUAUAGCGAUUCGCAUCACUUUCUUCCCCUUCAUGCUCUUCCAGUCCCUCACCGCUUUAGUCGACCUCUGCUGCGGCAACUACUGCCUCUUCCAUGACUUUGUCAGCCAUUGCCCCCUUGCCCUCUUUGUUGGCCACCGCUACUCCAACAAUGUUCAUUCCCUUCCCCACGGCCCUAGUCCUAGUUCUAAUUGAUCU